UACGUAGGUGGCAAGCGUUGUCCGGAUUUACUGGGCGUAAAGAGCGCGCAGGCGGUCGUUCAAGUCGCGUGUGAAAGCCCCCGGCUCAACUGGGGAGGGUCACGCGAUACUGAUCGACUCGAAGGCAGGAGAGGGAAGUGGAAUUCCCGGUGUAGUGGUGAAAUGCGUAGAUAAUCGGGAGGAACACCAGUGGCGAAGGCGACUUCCUGGCCUGUUCUUGACGCUGAGGCGCGAAAGCUAGGGGAGCAAACGGG
rnacentral:rRNA from 1 species